rnacentral:lncRNA from 1 species
AUACGUACCUCCAGAAUUCUGUCAGCUAAAUUAGUGAUAACGAGGCGCGUACCAUUACAUAAACUGGUUGUCUGAUUAAGAUUCCUGAGAAGCAUCACUGGAACUCCAACUUUAAGAACAAGGCAAUGAUCAGGAAAAUUAUUAACCUUCAACCAAUUCAAAAAUUCAACCGGAUAUAAUAAUUCGACAUCAUCAACUAUAUCCGAACACUUAGAAACACAAUCAAAACUCAAAUAUUCUUUCCUUUUUCCUAGG